rnacentral:rRNA from 1 species
GACGUAGGGGGCAAGCGUUGUCCGGAAUCAUUGGGCGUAAAGCGCUCGUAGGUGGAUCGGUAAGUCUGCAAAGAAAAGACCCGGGGCUCAACUCGGGGAACGGUGUGGAUACUACCGAUCUUGAGGCAAUCAGAGGAUGAUGGAAUUCCCGGUGUAGCGGUGAAAUGCGUAGAUAUCGAGAGGAACACCGGUGGCGAAGGCGGCCAACUGGACGAAUACUGACGCUGAGACACGAAAGCGUGGGGAGCAAACAGG